rnacentral:rRNA from 1 species
GAGCGAUUCUCUUCGGAGAAGAGCGGCGGACGGGUGAGUAACGCGUGGGUAACCUGCCCUGUACACACGGAUAACAUACCGAAAGGUAUGCUAAUACGAGAUAAUAUGCUUUUAUCGCAUGGUAGAAGUAUCAAAGCUUUUGCGGUACAGGAUGGACCCGCGUCUGAUUAGCUAGUUGGUAAGGUAACGGCUUACCAAGGCGACGAUCAGUAGCCGACCUGAGAGGGUGAUCGGCCACAUUGGAACUGAGACACGGUCCAAACUCCUACGGGAGGCAGCAGUGGGGAAUAUUGCACAAUGGGCGAAAGCCUGAUGCAGCAACGCCGCGUGAGCGAUGAAGGCCUUCGGGUCGUAAAGCUCUGUCCUCAAGGAAGAUAAUGACGGUACUUGAGGAGGAAGCCCCGGCUAACUACGUGCCAGCAGCCGCGGUAAUACGUAGGGGGCUAGCGUUAUCCGGAAUUACUGGGCGUAAAGGGUGCGUAGGUGGUUUCUUAAGUCAGAGGUGAAAGGCUACGGCUCAACCGUAGUAAGCCUUUGAAACUGGGAAACUUGAGUGCAGGAGAGGAGAGUGGAAUUCCUAGUGUAGCGGUGAAAUGCGUAGAUAUUAGGAGGAACACCAGUUGCGAAGGCGGCUCUCUGGACUGUAA